rnacentral:lncRNA from 1 species
GCACAGCGGCGGCGCAGGCGCGGAGAGGGGCACAGCGGCGGCGCAGGCGCGGAGAGGCGCACAGCGCGGCACAGCGAGGCGCCGGCCCAGACUCCACUCCCCAGCUGUGAAAGGAGGAGCUCUACGGUGACUUUGAAGACUUGGAAACAGGGGACGUGCACAAGGGAAAAUCGGGCCCCGAUACUCAGAAUGAAGAUGUAGAGAAACAAGGAAGAAAUUGACCCUGACGAAGAAGAAAGUGCCAAGAAAAAGCAUUUGGAUAAGAAGAGAAAAUUGAAGGAGAUGUUUGAUGUGGAAUAUGAUGAAGGAGAAAGCACAUAUUUUGAUGAUCUUAAAGGAGAAAUGCAGAAACAAGCACAGAUAACAGCAUACAGGUUUCCCCCCCCGACCCCGUCAUGUACAGCUGAAUCAUGCAGAAUUUGAAGAUCAAGAUGAUGAAGCCAGAGUUCAGUAUGAGGGUUUUCGACCUGGGAUAUGCGUCUGAAGAAACAUCGCUGGUAUAAGAAAAUCCUCAAGUCCCGAGAUCCAAUCAUAUUUUCUGUAGGGUGGAGGAGGUUUCAGACCAUCCCGCUCUGUUAUAUCGAAGACCACAAUGGAAGACAAAGGCUUCUAAACCUGAUUUUCGGAUAGCUGCCACAGGAGUUGUCCUUGAUCUGGAUAAAUCCAUAAAAAUUGUGAAGAAAUUAAAGCUAACUGGUUUUCCAUAUAAAAUUUUUAAGAACACUUCAUUUAUUAAGGGAAUGUUUAAUUCAGCCUUGGAAGUGGCCAAAUUUGAAGGUGCUGUGAUUCGAACUGUCAGUGGGAUAAGGGGGCAGAUCAAGAAAGCACUCUGAGCUCCAGAAGGAGCUUUCCGGGCCAGCUUUGAGGAUAAGCUGCUGAUGAGCGAUAUUGUCUUCAUGCAAACUUGGUAUCCUGUUUCCAUCCCAGCCUUCUAUAACCCAGUAACAUCUUUGUUGAAACCAGUGGGUGAGAAAGACACCUGGUCAGGAACGCGGACCACGGGCCAACUCAGGCUUGCCCAUGGUGUCAGACUAAAGGCAAACAAGGACUCUCUGUAUAAGGUUCCCUCUCCCAGCCUGUGCUGACUCAGCCAUCUUCCCAUUCUGCAUCUUCUGGAGCAUCAGUCAGACUCACCUGCAUGCUGAGCAGUGGCUUCAGUGUUGGGGACUUCUGGAUAAGGUGGUACCAACAAAAGCCAGGGAACCCUCCCCGGUAUCUCCUGUACUACCACUCAGACUCCAAUAAGGGCCAAGGCUCUGGAGUUCCCAGCCGCUUCUCUGGAUCCAACGAUGCAUCAGCCAAUGCAGGGAUUCUGCGUAUCUCUGGGCUCCAGCCUGAGGAUGAGGCUGACUAUUACUGUGGUACAUGGCACAGCAACUCUAAGACUCACACAGUGCUCCAGACCCAUGAGGAACAAAACACUGCAAAGUCAUUCGCCAGGAUCUCCUGCAGACUGGCAUUCAGUGAUGGAGAACAGACUCCUAGGUGAGAUCCCUGGUCACAGGAUCCAGAUGACUAUGACUGCAAGUCUGGAAAAGAAGAGACAGAACAAAGAUUUACCAGCAUAACCCUCUGAGAAUGUGCCCCAGCCAUCCUGGAGGGAAGAGCUCCCUAUUGACCCAGCACUGCAGAAUCCACAGAGGAAGGACAGCUCUGGCCACCAGGGAGCAGCCACACGACAAGAGAGGACCCGGUGUCCCCACAGGGUCCUGGGCCCAGUCUGUGUUGACGCAGCCGCCCUCAGUGUCUGCGGCCCCAGGACAGAAGGUCACCAUCUCCUGCUCUGGAAGCAGCUCCAACAUUGGGAAUAAUUAUGUAUCCUGGUACCAGCAGCUCCCAGGAACAGCCCCCAAACUCCUCAUUUAUGACAAUAAUAAGCGACCCUCAGGGAUUCCUGACCGAUUCUCUGGCUCCAAGUCUGGCACGUCAGCCACCCUGGGCAUCACCGGACUCCAGACUGGGGACGAGGCCGAUUAUUACUGCGGAACAUGGGAUAGCAGCCUGAGUGCUG